AACUGAUAGUCUUCCAAUAGCCCAAAUCUUGGAAUUCUUCCAACGUAUGAAAGUACAAAGAAGAGCCACUUGGCUUUCAACCCCUAAUAGAGAAACUCGAGUCCGGAAUGUGGGAAGUAGGGUUGUUCUAGCUGACCAAUUGAUACAAAAGGGCGACUAUAGGAAUCCCUUACGGCCCGUUUGGUGGGGCAGGAGGGGGAUAAGCUAAUUCAGGUUCACUCAUAUUUGGUGUUUGGUUCCCCCUUUGCACCCGGAUUGCUUAUCCGGCAGGUAAGCUGAGAGCUUGAGACCUCUGCAGGGGUCUUAACAAAACCAACCCCACCUGCAUCAUUAGCUUAUCCAGGUGGGCAUAAUUAGGACGUGCCUCUCACAGCUCUCCCAACAAGGGGGAAACUAUGUAAACUCUCACCUUAUCACUUCAUUCAUCCACUCUUGUCCAUCCAUUUCAACUACCAAUCAAAACCCCUUCUUAGUUAAUCCCUCCUUAAUUAAUUCACCCUUCUUAGUUAAUCUGUCCGCCAAAUGAGCCGUUAGGGUUAGUGGACGUCUUUGAGGCAAAGGAGGGGAUGACUUUAACGAGUUCUAUAGACCAACUAGACCAUAUGGUAUGUACCAAGAGGACGCCAUUUACACUCUAAACCUAGACACCCUCAUGCUCAGCCCUAGUAUCUCCUAGUGGAUAAAAAAAGACAUGACCUAUGAGGCACAGUUACGGGAUACGGAUAUGGCGAUAUGGCAAAGCCUAGAAAAAUAGGAUACAGAUACGUUGGGGAUACGGUUGUGUAAAUAAUACAUUCUUGUAACUGUCAGUCUAAAAAUUAGAAUUUUGGAUAAAAAAAUUAACAUAUCACUCAUCAGUAUGUAGUCCUAUGCCCCCAACACAUCAGUGACACUGUGCAUGCUACUGUAUUAUCCUAUAUAUAUACAUACUAUUACUAGUACAUAAUAUUACAACUUGUACAUAUUAAAAAAACUAAAGGUGUCAAUUAGUGUGUAUUUACUAAGGGGUAUAUCCUCUAGGCUAUAUUUACAUAUCCUCCACUUUCGAAUACUAUGUGUAUAUAUCGUAUACAUCAGUGUAUAUAAGGUAAAUCGACACACAGAGAGACUAGGGUUUCUGGGUUUGGAAGUAUCGACUGGUUCAGCCCUCGACCCUCAGGUGUUGAUUUCAAUCUCAGUUGUAUGAUCUUAUCUAAUUUUCUAGGGUUUCUAUUCUACAUUUAUAGUAUUAUUACAGUUUCCCCCUUAAAGUUUUUACUUAAUUCUUUCAAAAAUUUCAUUUUAGACCCCGCCGUAUCCUGAAAAAUAUCCAGACGUAUCCUGUAUCUCUCGUGUAUCUGACAUUAAAAACAUUUUAAUUCAAAUACAAGAUACUUAUUUGCUGUAUUGAGGUGUAUCGGGCGCAUAUCGGUAUUGGAGAACUAUCCGAUACCCCUACGCAACUAGUUUCGGAGUAUCCGUGCUUCAUAGUACAUGACAUAAAAGCUCGUGGUCGAAGCCCCUAGCUUUGAUGGUUCGAUUUUCCAAAAUAAAACUUGUUUGGCUCCGCCAAG